GCCCCAGUAGCUCAGAUGGAUAGAGCAGAGGUUUCCUAAACCUCGUGCCGGAGGUUCGAUUCCGCCCUGGGGCA
rnacentral:tRNA from 1 species